UGCGCGACAGAAAACGGUUGACAGCUGAAGUUCUCCCGUGAUACAGGACGAUUGUUCGAGUACCUGUGCAUUCGUAGGAAUUUCUUCCCAGACUUCAGGAGAAGUUAAGCGUCACGAGAUUUUGGAGGAUUUCCAUUCGAACUUCGAAUAACUUCAGCAAUUUCCCUGUGGUUCGAAGGAUCAUUAUCCCGAGGGGGAAAAUUGCAUUCUUAGUGUGUAUAUGUUGUUAAAAGUAGUUAGUGUAAGAAACUUAGAUCUGUUAAUGUAUUUACUGCAAUUGAACAAUACGUGAUUGAUAUCUUCCUUAACAUGGCAUAAGUCGCAGUUUUCAUCACUGGCAAUCUUCCACUGAAAUAAUUUUUCUUUCGUCAGAGUGAUGUGUUCUACACGGUAAUUUUAGAUUAUUCAGAGACUGAAUAAUUUCGGUUCAGGGAUCGCACCAUGUAUGAAGAUAAAAACAACUGAAUGAAAUCCUUCAAAAUUCUGAGUUGUUUUCAUCUAGCGAGUUCCAAAUCCUGGGACUUAGCAAAGACGCACACUUUUUCGUGCAAAAUAGAUGAAAACAACUCAGAGAGGUUCAAAAAACAAUAUGAUUGUUUGGAUGCGACGGUCGGGUGCAGGUGAUGAAAAAAAAGGGAAAUUUCAGCUUUGAUGGCCGGACACAAAUCUCAACUGGAGGCAGAAAGAUGGCAGUGACAACACAGCUCCCUUGCCUCCCGGGGCAGGCAGUCGAGGGGGAGGAAGCCGAAGUCGUGACAACUCACAAUCCUUAAACAUUUUCCCAAAAAUAGUAUGGAGCGAGGCGCCUACGACGGGAGUGCCGGCAACAGAAGUUGGUGUGGUCGAGGAGAAAGUGGUGAUCGGGGCAAUCUUAUCGGUAACCAUCGGAAGAACAGCCAGGAUCGGUACUACCGGAAGGUAAGUCAGGAUUCACGGUACAGUCGUGAUAACAGUACCGAAGAAAAUUGUUUCCAUUCACUAACUUCGGUGAAACAGAAUGAUGAUAAAUAAACGUACUUUCAGACAUUUGUUUUGUUUUUCUUUUAUUCGAAAUUUCAGUAUAUUUCUUCAAAAAUACACAGUUCCUUUCGAAAGCGUAUCAAAAUUUGAUAAAAUUCUGAGUUGUUAUGAUUCAGAUUCUUUCAGAUGAGCUCAAAACAUUCCUGAACAAAAACAACUCAAAAUUCGCGAAAACCCCUAAAAUUCAUUUCUGAGUUAUGCCGCUCUAAUCAAAAUUUGAGUUUUCCCAGUUUUGGCGCAUUUUGAAUUGUUUUCCUUCAAAUCUGAGUCACGGAGAAUUAGAGUGUACACCCAAAAUAAUUUAGAAAUUUAAAAUACGGGAUUUUUCCCGUAAACUAAGCUUUUGUGGCAUAACAUUGAUUCUACGUGUGCCUUGUAGUAAAUACUGUAUUUCAAAUGACUGUCACAUGAAUUUCACGUAAAAUCUAGUGGAUGGUUCGAAAUCGGUUGUCUUCAAUUUUCUCAAUCGUGUGGAAGUAAAUUCUUAUUGGAAAAGGGAUUUGUCGUCAGUGAGCUUAUUAUAUUCUUAUGUAAAAACUCCAGCAACGGUUAUGGCAGUUCGGAGGGUUCAACGUCUGAAGACGAGAUCGACGAGCACACUGAGCAUCGUGCGUGGAACCCAAGGAGAUUCGGAAAAGCUUCUGGAAGUCUGGUCAUGUUCGCUCAUGCUUUGGCGGAACUCCCGGAAUUGAUGUUCGACAAAUUCGUGGCACAAGGAACAAGUUGCACAAGGAUCGUAAAAACCAACCUGCGUUGUUCAACCACCCGGAAUCCAGAUAAUUUUUUUCACACAAGUUAUAGUGAUUACUGUAGUGAAUGUGAUUAAUUUAGUGAUAGUGAUUGUUUAUAAAAUAAAUUGAAAUUUAUUAU